rnacentral:lncRNA from 1 species
CUUUUAUUUCGAUGUUUUUCCUCUUAAGUUGAUGCAUUUCCCUCAGCUUGAGUUUGUAAACCGGAUUUGUUUUCUAUCAAUCGAGUUAUGACUUUUGAACAGCAAUAUACUACUGUUGCCUUUAUUUAAAGGAUGUAUAAGAUAUAGAGGAGUUAGAAACAACAACCAAGUGACAUAAGCAACCAAAAAUUAUUGGAAGACG